rnacentral:rRNA from 1 species
UACCAGCACCCCGAGUGGUCGGGACGAUUAUUGGGCCUAAAGCAUCCGUAGCCGGUUCUGCAAGUCCCCCGUUAAAUCCAGCUGCUCAACAGAUGGGCCGCGGAGGAUACUACAGAGCUAGGAGGCAGGAGAGGCAAGCGGUACUCAGUGGGUAGGGGUAAAAUCCGUUGAUCCAUUGAAGACCACCAGUGGCGAAGGCGGCUUGCCAGAAUGCGCUCGACGGGUGAGGGAUGAAAGCUGGGGGAGCAACCGG